AGUACAAACACACAAAACAAAUCAUGACACUCUACUGUAGCUGCAUAAUUUUACAUAGAACAAGCCUCUCUUAGGAAAGGUAAAAGCAUACACCCCAAAACCUUAAGUAAGAAUCUCCCAAAGUGAAAAUAUAUUAAUGGCUGUCAAUAUUUCAUUUUUAUUUAGUGUGAUGUGUUCUUUUACAGGUUUUCCUUUGAAUGAUAGAAGCAGUUUGAAGACUGGAAACUCAUGUGCUUCAGAAGGGACCUACGCCGUCAUCAGCAGUUUCUCCUCUACUCCCAAAGCACAGCCUGCUGUCCCAGCGCAGAGCGUAAAGGACAAGUCUGAUGAAAAUCAGACCCAUGUCUAUUCUGCCAUUAUGACCCAGCCGUCAGCCUCAGCUAACAAGGACUUGAUCUACACCCUUGCACAGCCACAUGGAGACUAAUGGACUUCACUUCUGCGUAAUGAACCUGACUUCUGUCUGUUUCCCACAUCAUAGUAUUUGUAUAACAGCAGCGACAAUGAGUAGCGCAGUGUGUGUGAGCGCUAUUCAUUGCCAGUGUAAGUUAUUAAGGCUGUUCCCACCUACACUCCUGCAGUGUUCUGUGGUGUGUUCAUUCAUUGUUCGUUUGUCACGCCGUAUUUUUGACUCACCUGCAAUACUGAAACUAAGCAAUUUUGACAAGUGUCACUGUUGUACCAACAUUUUCGCUGAUUAUACACGUUGCUGCUUGCUUCCUGAAGCCUCACACUGCUUAGUUCGGACAAGCGCGUUAAAGUUCGAAGCAGGGGGACUGAGCAGUUGCAAGCUUCAGAACAACAUUUACAAGAGCAUCACUGAGCUGAGGCUGAUAUUUUAACAUUGCACCUGGAUUAUGCCAUCAGCGGCGAUAUUUGUAAUGGGCUCAGGAGACAGGACUCCAGAAACAUGGGCUGUAUUGCACCUUGGCAUGUAUUAGCAGCAAAGCACAUUCAUAAACCCAGAUGACAACUUAAACACACAAUGAACUACACAAACCCUCACAUUAUAACAAUAACAGCAAAAAGCAUUAAACUGUACAAACACUGUUGAACAUCAGCAGAAGUGCAUUAUAGGCAAUGCAUACAUUUGUAUUUAUGGGUCGGUGAAUGUGUGUAGCGUGGUAGUCACUGGGGGAACUAUGUUGCCCUUACAACCCCUAUAAAGUUCUGCAGAUUCAGAAGGCGUCUCUGCAUAUUUUAUCAAAUUUUGCUGCUGUGACAUGCUGAUCAGCAAUAAAAGACAUAUUCCUGGAGUCCCGUCUCUUGAAUCCUUUAUUAACAGCACUGUCGCUGUGCAGUGAAGGCAGGAUGUUGCAGUACUGAUACAGUGAGUAAGAUAUUGAGCAUUUGAUGGUAUGACUCUAUAAUACGAUUUACUUGCUACAUAACUUUGCACAGGCAAAUUAUUGAUAUUAAAUUAUUUAUGUGUUAUUAGUGCUUGUUCACAUAGAGCAUAAUCGUAAUUUUUCAUCACUCCCAAAUGCCCACCCAAUGAUGGGCAUUAGAUAGUCAGCUUCCAUAUGUUUGACACUGCUGACGAAGGUUGCUUUGCUGUAUAUAGACAGAUAUUUUCAGUGCUAUAUGAAAUGUAUCCAAAAUAAUAUUUGAGAAACUCUUACAUUAUUUUAAUCUCAAUUUAUGCAUAAAAAUAAUAGUGAGAUGUUAUUUUUGAAUCAACACGCAACCGAUUAUAGUUAAGAUUUUUUUUUUCCCUUGUGGGUUUGCUUCUUUGAAUCUUAGUUAUUAUUUCUAAAUGGGCACCUACUCUGCCUCCUUCAUGUGGUACAACUUUUAUUUCUGAAUAAAACAUAGCAGCAGCAGGUAGCGUAUCAGUUACAGUAGCUAUUAUUUCCUAGUACUUUUCCUAAAUUGCCUUUAUGAAAAUUGCCCAGCUGUACAAACAGAUAAAUAAUUGCAAUUAGCUCAAGCGAGUUGUUUUACAGGAAAGUAUCAGCUAAAUAUUUCAAUGUUUUUAAACACUGCAGUUUUCCAGCUGACUGUUCAAAUCAUUUUUUUUUCCAUUUCUGUCAUGUUCAGCACAAAAUCUACCAUGUUGUAAUUAAUCAUCACAAAGCGCUGUUAUAUGUUUGGUGCUGUUCUGUAUGUAUAUUUCAAAGCUGCAUACUUUUUCCUCUUCCAAAUGACACACUUUGUUUUUACCCUAUUGUGACAUUUCAGUUCUCCAGCCAGAGUUUUAGGCAAUCUAUGUAUUAAUGGGGACAAUUGCAGAAAAUCACUACCUUUCUCACAGGAGGGUUUUAGUCAUUGCUAGUAUUACUGUAAAUACAGCAUCCGAAGUAUUUGCAUUCAUACAGAGAACACUUCUUUUAUUACAGUACCAAGGACACACGCCUUUGCAAUCUUAAAUCUGGAUUCUACCCGCUGUCCAGUCUGAAUCAAAAUAACUCCGAGGUACAUAUGCUCCUUCCCACGUUUUCUGUCCACUGGGUUUUUUCAAAUAUAUUUAGAAUCGGUGGUUUCCCUUCUAGUUGCAGGGCCACUAAAUGUGUUACCCACAAACCCAGAGUAGAGGCUACAGGUAGAGACUGGGGGAGGGGGUUUCCUUAGUAGACACACACACACACACACACACACACA